rnacentral:rRNA from 1 species
GACAGAGGGGGCAAGCGUUGCUCGGAAUCACUGGGCGUAAAGGGCGCGUAGGCGGGAUGGCAAGUCAGUCGUGAAAUCUCUCGGCUCAACCGAGAAACGUCGGCUGAUACUGCCGUUCUUGAGGGAUGCAGAGGAGACUGGAAUUCCCGGUGUAGCGGUGAAAUGUGUAGAGAUCGGGAGGAACACCGGUGGCGAAGGCGGGUCUCUGGACGGAUACUGACGCUGAGACGCGAAAGCGUGGGGAGCAAACAGG